AAGACUAGCUAGAAAAUUAUGAAUCUAUAGGAGCUUAUCUCCUUGCUUGCUAAACUAGAUUAUAGGCUAUAUGGACUGGAUCAUACUGACUACCCAUACUCAAAUGAAGUAUUUCUUUAGCACUUUUCUAUGAAAUUCUAUUGAUAUUAGGGAGCAAAGAAUUUUUGGCAUGCUCUGAAAAAGACAUUUGACUAGGAUAGGAUUGCUAGGCCUCAGGCAACUCAACUUCUUACUUUCUAGCUUA
rnacentral:lncRNA from 1 species